AACCAUAGAAACCUGCGGAGUACCUGCGGAGGGAUCAUUACCGAGUGCGGGUCCUCGUGGCCCAACCUCCCACCCGUGACUAUUGUACCUUGUUGCUUCGGCGGGCCCGUGCCCGCCGGAGACCCCAACAUGAACCCUGUUCUGAAAGCUUGCAGUCUGAGUGUGAUUCCUUGCAAUCAGUUAAAACUUUUAACAAUGGAUCU
rnacentral:misc_RNA from 1 species